rnacentral:rRNA from 1 species
UACGAAGGGGGCUAGCGUUGUUCGGAAUUACUGGGCGUAAAGCGCGUGUAGGCGGGUCUUUAAGUCAGGGGUGAAAUGCCAGGGCUCAACCUUGGAACUGCCUUUGAUACUGGAGACCUUGAGUCCGGGAGAGGUGAGUGGAAUUGCGAGUGUAGAGGUGAAAUUCGUAGAUAUUCGCAAGAACACCAGUGGCGAAGGCGGACUCACUGGCC